ensembl:lncRNA
UGUGUGUGUGCGUGGUACGUGUGUAUGAUUGUCUGUGAAGGUGUGUGUGUGUGGUACGUGUGUAUGAGUGUCUGUGAAGGUGUGUGUGUGUGGUACGUGUGUAUGAGUGUCUGUGAAGGUGUGUGUGUGCGUGGUACGUGCGUAUGAGUGUCUGUGAAGGUGUGUGUGUGUGGUACGUGUGUAUGAGUGUCUGUGAAGGUGUGUGUGUGUGUGGUACGUGUGUAUGAGUGUCUGUGAAGGUGUGUGUGUUAGAGGAAGAGGAUAAAGCCUCUCCAGCAGGGCCUUGGCUAGCUAUUAGCUGUA